rnacentral:rRNA from 1 species
AGAGUUUGAUCAUGGCUCAGGACGAACGCUGGCGGCGUGCUUAACACAUGCAAGUCAACGAGAAAAGAGGUAGCGAUACUUCUGAGUAAAGUGGCGCACGGGUGAGUAAUAUGUAAGUAAUCUACCCAUAGAUUUGGAAUAACGCAGAGAAAUUUGCGCUAAUACCGAAUAAUGCAGCGGCAUCGCAUGAUGAUGUUGUUAAAGUUGCAGCAAUGUAACGGCUAUGGAUGAGCUUGCAUCUGAUUAGCUAGUUGGUGAGGUAAAGGCUCACCAAGGCAACGAUCAGUAGCUGGUCUGAGAGGAUGAUCAGCCACACUGGAACUGAGACACGGUCCAGACUCCUACGGGAGGCAGCAGUGAGGAAUAUUGGGCAAUGCCCGCAAGGGUGACCCAGCAACGCCGCGUGGAGGAUGAAUGCCGUAAGGUUGUAAACUCCUGUGAGAAGGGAAGAAAACUUGGAUUUCGUAAGGGAUCCAACUUGACUGUACCUUCAGAGGAAACCCCGGCUAACUACGUGCCAGCAGCCGCGGUAAUACGUAGGGGGUUAGCGUUGUCCGGAUUUACUGGGUGUAAAGGGCGCGUAGGCGGGUUUGUAAGUCAGUGGUGAAAUCCUGCAGCUUAACUGCAGAACUGCCUUUGAUACUGCAAAUCUUGAGUUCAGAAGAGAGAGAUGGAAUUCCAGGUGUAGUGGUGAAAUACGUAGAUAUCUGGAAGAACACCAGUGGCGAAGGCGAUCUCUUGGUCUGUAACUGACGCUGAGGCGCGAAAGCGUGGGUAGCAAACAGGAUUAGAUACCCUGGUAGUCCACGCUGUAAACGAUGAAUACUAGAUGUUGGGUAGAAAUGCUCAGUGUCGCAGCUAACGCAUUAAGUAUUCCACCUGGGGAGUACGAUCGCAAGGUUGAAACUCAAAUGAAUUGACGG